UACGUAGGGUGCAAGCAUUAUCCGGAGUGACUGGGCGUAAAGAGUUGCGUAGGUGGCUUUGUAAGCGAAUAGUGAAAUCAGGUGGCUCAACCACGUGGCUAUUAUUCGAACUGCAAGGCUCGAGAAUGGUAGAGGUAACUGGAAUUUCUUGUGUAGGAGUGAAAUCCGUAGAUAUAAGAAGGAACACCAAUGGCGUAGGCAGGUUACUGGACCAUUUCUGACACUGAGGCACGAAAGCGUGGGGAGCGAA
rnacentral:rRNA from 1 species